rnacentral:rRNA from 1 species
UGCAGUCGAGCGGUUGACGGGAGCUUGCUCCCUGAUUCAGCGGCGGACGGGUGAGUAAUGCCUAGGAAUCUGCCUAUUAGUGGGGGACAACGUUUCGAAAGGAACGCUAAUACCGCAUACGUCCUACGGGAGAAAGCAGGGGACCUUCGGGCCUUGCGCUAAUAGAUGAGCCUAGGUCGGAUUAGCUAGUUGGUGAGGUAAAGGCUCACCAAGGCGACGAUCCGUAACUGGUCUGAGAGGAUGAUCAGUCACACUGGAACUGAGACACGGUCCAGACUCCUACGGGAGGCAGCAGUGGGGAAUAUUGGACAAUGGGCGAAAGCCUGAUCCAGCCAUGCCGCGUGUGUGAAGAAGGUCUUCGGAUUGUAAAGCACUUUAAGUUGGGAGGAAGGGCAGUAAAUUAAUACUUUGCUGUUUUGACGUUACCGACAGAAUAAGCACCGGCUAACUCUGUGCCAGC